rnacentral:rRNA from 1 species
ACGGGAGGCAGCAGUGGGGAAUAUUGCACAAUGGGGGAAACCCUGAUGCAGCAACGCCGCGUGAGUGAUGAAGUAUUUCGGUAUGUAAAACUCUAUCAGCAGGGAAGAAGAUGACGGUACCUGACUAAGAAGCACCGGCUAAAUACGUGCCAGCAGCCGCGGUAAUACGUAUGGUGCAAGCGUUAUCCGGAUUUACUGGGUGUAAAGGGAGCGCAGGCGGUCCUGCAAGCCAGAGGUGAAAACCCGGGGCUCAACCCCGUGAUUGCCUUUGGAACUGUAGGACUUGAGUACUGGAGGGGCAGGCGGAAUUCCUGGUGUAGCGGUGAAAUGCGUAGAUAUCAGGAAGAACACCGAUGGCGAAGGCAGCUUGCUGGGGACUUAUCGACGCUCAUGCUCGAAAGUGCGGGUAGCAAACAGGAUUAGAUACCCUGGUA